rnacentral:tRNA from 1 species
UAGAUUGAAGCCCGCUGGUUUGGGUUUUUAGUUGUUAACUAAAGGUUUAUGGGAUCAAGGCCCGUCGGUCUAGG